rnacentral:rRNA from 1 species
AUUGAACGCUGGCGGCAUGCUUUACACAUGCAAGUCGAACGGUAACAGGCCGCAAGGUGCUGACGAGUGGCGAACGGGUGAGUAAUGCAUCGGAACGUGCCCAGUCGUGGGGGAUAACUACUCGAAAGAGUAGCUAAUACCGCAUACGAUCUAUGGAUGAAAGCGGGGGACCGUAAGGCCUCGCGCGAUUGGAGCGGCCGAUGUCAGAUUAGGUAGUUGGUGGGGUAAAGGCUCACCAAGCCAACGAUCUGUAGCUGGUCUGAGAGGACAACCAGCCACACUGGGACUGAGACACGGCCCAGACUCCUACGGGAGGCAGCAGUGGGGAAUUUUGGACAAUGGGCGCAAGCCUGAUCCAGCAAUGCCGCGUGCAGGAAGAAGGCCUUCGGGUUGUAAACUGCUUUUGUACGGAACGAAACGACUCUGGUUAAUACCCGGGGCUAAUGACGGUACCGUAAGAAUAAGCACCGGCUAACUACGUG